rnacentral:rRNA from 1 species
UACGGGGGGGGGUAAGCGUUGCUCGGAAUCACUGGGCGUAAAGGGUGCGUAGGCGGGUCUUUUAAGUCAGGGGUGAAAUCCUGGAGCUCAACUCCAGAACUGCCUUUGAUACUGAGGAUCUUGAGUUCGGGAGAGGUGAGUGGAACUGCGAGUGUAGAGGUGAAAUUCGUAGAUAUUCGCAAGAACACCAGUGGCGAAGGCGGCUCACUGGCCGAUACUGACGCUGAGGCACGAAAGCGUGGGGAGCAAACAGG